GACGAACGCUGGCGGCGCGCCUAACACAUGCAAGUCGAACGGAGCUGAGAGAAGCUUGCUUUUCUUAGCUUAGUGGCGAACGGGUGAGUAACGCGUGAGUAACCUGCCCUGGAGUGGGGGACAACAGUUGGAAACGACUGCUAAUACCGCAUAAGCCCACGAUCCGGCAUCGGAUUGAGGGAAAAGGAUUUAUUCGCUUCAGGAUGGACUCGCGUCCAAUUAGCUAGUUGGUGAGGUAACGGCCCACCAAGGCGACGAUUGGUAGCCGGACUGAGAGGUUGAACGGCCACAUUGGGACUGAGACACGGCCCAGACUCCUACGGGAGGCAGCAGUGGGGGAUAUUGCACAAUGGGGGAAACCCUGAUGCAGCGACGCCGCGUGGAGGAAGAAGGUUUUCGGACUGUAAACUCCUGUCGUUAGGGACGAUAAUGACGGUACCUAACAAGAAAGCACCGGCUAACUACGUG
rnacentral:rRNA from 1 species